rnacentral:rRNA from 1 species
AGUGAACGCUGGCGGUAGGCCUAACACAUGCAAGUCGAACGGCAGCACAGUAAGAGCUUGCUCUUACGGGUGGCGAGUGGCGGACGAGUGAGGAAUACAUCGGAAUCUACUUUUUCGUGGGGGAUAACGUAGGGAAACUUCCGCUAUUACGCAAUCCACCCUCCGGUGAAAGGCGGGGAAUCUUCGACCCUGCGCCAAUGAAUGAGGCGGAUGUCGGAUUAGCUAGUUGGCGGGGUAAAGGCCAACCAAGGCGACGAUCCGUAGCUGGUCUGAGAGGAUGAUCAGCCACACUGGAACUGAGACACGGUCCAGACUCCUACGGGAGGCAGCAGUGGGGAAUAUUGGACAAUGGGCGCAAGCCUGAUCCAGCCAUACCGCGUGGGUGAAGAAGGCCUUCGGGUUGUAAAGCCCUUUUGUUGGGAAAGAAAAGCAGCAGGUUAAUACCCCGCUGUUCUGACGGUACCCAAAGAAUAAGCACCGGCUAACUUCGUG